rnacentral:rRNA from 1 species
UUUCUUCCUCGGAGUGGGGGGCUACAAUGCAGUCGAGCGCCCCGCCAGGGGAGCGGCAGACGGGUGAGUAACACGUGGGAACGUACCCAUCUCUGCGGAACAACUCCGGGAAACUGGAGCUAAUACCGCAUACGCCCUUUGGGGGAAAGAUUUAUCGGAGAUGGAUUGGCCCGCGUUGGAUUAGCUAGUUGGUGGGGUAAAGGCCUACCAAGGCGACGAUCCAUAGCUGGUCUGAGAGGAUGAUCAGCCACAUUGGGACUGAGACACGGCCCAUACUCCUACGGGAGGCAGCAGUGGGGAAUAUUGGACAAUGGGCGCAAGCCUGAUCCAGCCAUGCCGCGUGAGUGAUGAAGGCCUUAGGGUUGUAAAGCUCUUUCACCGAUGAAGAUAAUGACGGUAGUCGGAGAAGAAGCCCCGGCUAACUUCUUGCCAGCAGCCGCGGUAAUACGAAGGGCGCUAGCGUUGUUCGGAAUUACUGGGCGUAAAGCGCACGUAGGCGGAUAUUUAAGUCAUAGGUGAAAUCCCGGAGCUCAACUUCGGAACUGCCUUUGAUACUGGGUAUCUUGAGUAUGGAAGAGGUAAGUGGAAUUGCGAGUGUAGAGGUGAAAUUCGUAGAUAUUCGCAGGAACACCAGUGGCGAAGGCGGCUUACUGGUCCAUUACUGACGCUGAGGUGCGAAAGCGUGGGGAGCAAACAGGAUUAGAUACCCUGGUAGUCCCACGCCGUAAACGAUGAAAUGUUAGCCGUCGGCAAGUUUACUUGUCGGGUGGGCGCAGCUAACGCAUUAAACAUUCCCGCCUGGGGGAGUACGGUCGCAAGAUUAAAACUCAAAGGGAUUUGACGGGGGGCCCGCACAAGCGGGGAGCAUGUGGUUUAAUUUCGAAGCUACUCGCAAAACCUUUCCCAGCCCUUGAACAUG